UUAAGCAUAUCAAUAAGCGGAGGAAAAGAAACCAACAGGGAUUGCCUCAGUAACGGCGAGUGAAGCGGCAACAGCUCAAAUUUGAAAGCUGCCAACAGGCCGCGUUGUAAUUUGUAGAAGAUGCUUUGGGUGUCGGCCCAGUCUAAGUUCCUUGGAACAGGACGUCAUAGAGGGUGAGAAUCCCGUACGUGAUUGGUGCCGGUGCCCGUGUAAAGCUCUUUCGACGAGUCGAGUUGUUUGGGAAUGCAGCUCAAAAUGGGUGGUAAAUUUCAUCUAAAGCUAAAUAUUGGCCAGAGACCGAUAGCGCACAAGUAGAGUGAUCGAAAGAUGAAAAGCACUUUGGAAAGAGAGUUAAACAGUACGUGAAAUUGUUGAAAGGGAAGCGCUUGCAACCAGACUUGCGGGCGGUCGAUCAUCCGAGGUUCUCCCCGGUGCACUCGAUCGUUCUCAGGCCAGCAUCGGUUUCGGUGGUGGGAUAAAGGCUGUGGGAAUGUGGCCCUUCGGGGUGUUAUAGCCCACGGUGCAAUGCCGCCUACCGGGACCGAGGACCGCGCUUCGGCUAGGAUGCUGGCGUAAUGGUUGUAAGCGACCCGUCUUGAAACACGGACCAAGGAGUCUAACAUCUAUGCGAGUGUUUGGGUGUCAAACCCAUACGCGUAAUGAAAGUGAACGGAGGUAAGAGCCCUUUAGGGUGCAUUAUCGACCGAUCCUGAUGUCUUCGGAUGGAUUUGAGUAAGAGCAUAGCUGUUGGGACCCGAAAGAUGGUGAACUAUGCGUGAAUAGGGUGAAGCCAGAGGAAACUCUGGUGGAGGCUCGCAGCGGUUCUGACGUGCAAAUCGAUCGUCAAAUUUGCGUAUAGGGGCGAAAGACUAAUCGAACCAUCUAGUAGCUGGUUCCUGCCGAG
rnacentral:rRNA from 1 species